rnacentral:lncRNA from 1 species
GCUUAUUAAACAUAAGAGUUUUUAUAAAGAAACUUCCAUUGCCCCGCACUAAUAAUAGGGAACAAAGAAAAAGAGAACAAGCAGAACUGGAUGGAACCAGUGGUCUGGAUGAGUUGAACCCAAGCCCAAUUACUGCUAAUCCUUUCCAGCCAAUAGCAUCUGUAAUAAUGGAGAAUGAAAAGAAACUUGAAAAAGAGACAAAGAAACAAACAGUGAAAAAAGAUAGUGAUAUUUGUCCCCUGCAACAGAAAAUGGAACAUGAACAAUUAG